CAUCAUGGCUGCGAAACACGUUCUCUUUGUCAUCUUGGCUUAUAAUACAGGCUUUGGUUGUCAGGCUGCUCUGAGUCAAAGCGGUCCAUUUUCGGUGGCUCUGGGACAGACGGCAGCCAUCACCUGUACUCUGCAAGGCGCGGAGUUUAUCAGUAGCGUCCAUCCAUCCUGGUACCAACAAAACCCAGGGGAGGCUCCUAGGCUCCUCAUCUUCAAGUCCAGGGAAAGAGCUUCAGGGGUCCCCGAGCGUUUCUCCGGAGAGACUUAUAGCAACAACGCAAAGCUAACCAUCGCUGCGGUCCAGGCGGGUGAUGAAGCAGAUUAUUACUGUGCAGUGUGGCAUAAUUCCCAGCUACACCAUGACAUAUCUCAGUGCAUAGUGACGGAAAGGUUUAACCUUCAACUGCAAGGAUGGGAGAGGUGA